rnacentral:misc_RNA from 1 species
GAUGAAGAACGCAGCGAAAUGCGAUAAGUAAUGUGAAUUGCAGAUUUCAGUGAAUCAUCGAAUCUUUGAACGCACAUUGCGCCCGCCAGCACUCUGGCGGGCAUGCCUGUUCGAGCGUCAUUUCAACCAUUAAGCCCCAGGCUUGCGUUGGAGCCCUGCGGCUGCCGCAGCCUCCUAAAAGCAGUGGCGGGCUCGCUAUCACACCGAGUGCAGUAGAUUACUCUUCGCUCAGGGCGUGCAGCGGGUUCCGGCCGUGAAACCCCCUACUUUUAAAGGUUGACCUCGGAUCAGGUAGGAAUACCCGCUGAACUUAAGCAUAUCAAUAAGCGGAGGA